UUCUGGAGGUAAUACUCUUCCCCUUGCCUUAACUUUAUUGAACUUUCUCCCGUUCUCCCCCUUUGCCCUUGCCAAUGGGCUGGGCUAGCAUCGCGAUGUGUGGAGGGUACGUUUGGCGCCUCUGAAUCACGUGGCAGCAGUCUGUUGUGCCUGUGGGGAGCUGAGAGCUCGCCGCACUGGGCCCAGCUGGCAGAGCACGUGGCGGAGCCGGUCGCCCAGAGCCCAGGUAAAGCCGUGCUGGACUGGGAGGGAGGCCGGGGCAGGAUCACCAGCCCUCAGCAAUCCUGAAGCAGUCGGUGGAGCGGGCUAGUAGGGGCCAUGGGGAGCUGCUGCUGCAGCUGCGAAGAGGAUGACGUCUCUGACCCAGAGGAAGAGUGUGCACGCUUGCUGGAACCCCCCAGCGAGCCGGACGGGGCCUCCAUAUCCAACUCUUUAAAUGAUCAGGACGAAGAGGCCAUCCUCAAGUCCAUCCUGGCCAAGACUGCCAGCAGCAUUAUCGACGUGGCCGCGGCCCAGUCGCAGCGCCUGGGCCCCCACGAAUGCUUGGAUCGAGCCCGGCUGUAUCACAACCGGCUGGCCAAGCUCAAUCGGCCCUCCGUGAGCGGAGGCGUCCGGGACGGGAGCUGCGCACGGGACGGGAGCAGCUGCAGCAGAGGAACCUCUCGGGAAAGGCUACGGAGCUACUGGAAGAAGAAAGAGGCCCCGCCCGCGCCGCUUCCAACUCUUACCAACCACCCUCACCGCGUAUUGGCCGACGCGCAGGUACCCUUCGCAGACGUACAAGAGGCCAUCCACAUCGCGGAGGACGCCCAUCGCGCCAUGCAGCACGUGCGUGUUCGGCCCCAGGAGGAGCUGGUGGUGCAUUUCGAGGUCGUGUGAGCAGCGGCGGGGGCCUGGAGAGCGCGCCCCGCCUCCCAAUUCAACCUCCAGGGCCCCGGCUUCUCUUAGCUUGGGGCCCUAGCGAAGCGGUGGCGGUCGGCAGCAGACGAGCAAAGAGAGCAGAGUCGGGAGGAGGAGACUACAAGACCCGAGGAGGCCCUGGCUGCAGCGACUUCGCCUCCGAGCCGUUGACUCCCAUCGCCCCAUUUCCACUAAUCCCAGCUCCGGCCCGCUUUUUCUAGCAGAGCAUACCAACUCCUCCUCCUCUUCCCUCCCCCAUCUUCCUCCUUUCCUCUCCUCCCCCCUCUUCCUCCUUCCUUUCCUUUCCCCCUUCCCCUUCCUCUCCCCCUCUUCCUACCUUCUCCCUUUUCUCCCCUUUUCCUCCGCUUUCUCCCCUUUCUUCGCCCCUUUUCUCCCCUCCCCUUCCUCCCAAAGCUAGGUUGCCCAGCACCUGAACUCACUAAGGUGCUUAAUAAAAGUUUUCGUGCAUUGAA